rnacentral:lncRNA from 1 species
GCCGAAUUCUUUCAACUUGGGAUCCUCAGAAGUUACGUUUAAGUCAGAUGCCCCAGCUGUCCGUGGUGGGAGAUCACAGACGCAGGUGGCUGAUCUGGCCUGUGAGCUCAAGGGGAACAAUUACUCUCCUAAUUUGUCUUUCGGAUAAUUACAGGUUUUCGUUUAUUGGAUUUUCUCAGAUGAAGGAAAGAAGGAAGAGUGGCAAUGGAGAAGAGAAAGAGGACAUGAUGGGAAAUUGAGAAAGGGCAAGAUGUUUACUGAUUUAAUGAUUGAACGAUGAAGGAGUGAAUAAGCUGAGACAGCAAAAAAGAGAAGCUACUAGAAGGGGGUGUUCUAUCGAAAUGAGAGAGGAAACCAAGAGGAAAGCAUGAUGUGCUCAAACCAGGGGCUCCAACUAGCGUUGCAAAGGAAUAGAGUUGUGUAUCUUAGUUGCAGGUCCUUCUAGUUGUGGGAUAAAUUCUUAUGGAGAGAAUUUGAAAGACUAACAAAAGCUAUAAAAGCCGGGAUCAGAAAUAUUCGAGGGACAGUCACAACUUUACUACACCUUUCAUAAAGGAAGUGAAUUAAACAUCAAGAGCUCACAAAUGAAAAGUCUUGGGAAGUCAACUUGUGAAGUAGGAAGGCAGAAGAAGAAGAGGAUAAAUAGUUUCAUCCUCUCCCUGUUGAUGGUGUUAGGGAAGAAGCUAUGCCCUUGCAUCUUGGUAAACAAGAUCUCUCAAGGAUGUCACUUCACUGUUUUCACCAUAGUGUGAGCUCCUCUUUGGCUUCACAGUGGAGGAUAAGUUCCCUGCGUUGGCUGCCUCUUGGAGUCACUGUCUGACACAAGUUCUCCACAGGGAAGUGAGAGGACUGUCCUUAUCUGAAGGAGAGGGCGUCCAUCAGCUCACAGCUAGAUGUUCUGCGACCACCUUCUCAGCAACUGUAGAGGUUGGAGCCGCCGUAUCUGCCUCACUCGGGAUUGCAGGUCCUCGGCGUGGGCGUGGCACAGACCGGUAAUCAUUCAGAAAACCCAAAUGAACUGUGUGUCUCUGGGCCUC